UACGGGGGGGGCAAGCGUUGUUCGGAAUUACUGGGCGUAAAGGGCUCGUAGGCGGCCAACUAAGUCGGAUGUGAAAGCCCUCGGCUUAACCGAGGAAGUGCAUUCGAUACUGUGUCGCUUGAGUACCGGAGGGGAUGGCGGAAUUCCCGGUGUAGAGGUGAAAUUCGUAGAUAUCGGGAGGAACACCUGUGGCGAAGGCGACCCCCUGGUUGGAUACUGACGCUGAGACGCGAAAGCGUGGGGGAGCAAACAGG
rnacentral:rRNA from 1 species